rnacentral:rRNA from 1 species
GACGUAGGGCGCGAGCGUUGUCCGGAUUUAUUGGGCGUAAAGAGCUCGUAGGCGGCUUGUUGCGUCGUCCGUGAAAACCUGUGGCUCAACUACAGGCUUGCGGUCGAUACGGGCGGGCUGGAGUUCGGUAGGGGAGACUGGAAUUCCUGGUGUAGCGGUGAAAUGCGCAGAUAUCAGGAGGAACACCGGUGGCGAAGGCGGGUCUCUGGGCCGAUACUGACGCUGAGGAGCGAAAGCGUGGGGAGCGAACAGG